rnacentral:rRNA from 1 species
GUCGAGGGGCAGCGGGGAGGUAGUAAUACUUCCGCCGGCGACCGGCGCAUGGGUGAGUAACACGUAUGGAAUCUGCCCGUAGCAGGGGGAUAAGCGGAAGAAAUUCCGUCUAAUACCGCGUAAUAACUCCGAGAGGCAUCUCCUGGGGUUUAAAGGGUAACACCGGCUACGGAUGGCCAUGCGGCGCAUUAGCUAGUUGGCGGGGUAACGGCCCACCAAGGCGACGAUGCGUAGGGGUUCUGAGAGGAAGGUCCCCCACACUGGUACUGAGACACGGACCAGACUCCUACGGGAGGCAGCAGUGAGGAAUAUUGGUCAAUGGGCGCGAGCCUGAACCAGCCAAGUCGCGUGAGGGAAGACGGUCCUAUGGAUUGUAAACCUCUUUUGUCAGGGAGCAACGCCGGCUACGUGUAGCCGGACUGAGAGUACCUGAAGAAAAAGCAUCGGCUAACUCCGUGCCAGCAGCCGCGGUAAUACGGAGGAUGCGAGCGUUAUCCGGAUUUAUUGGGUUUAAAGGGUGCGUAGGCGGAAUGCCAAGUCAGCGGUAAAAUCGCGGGGCUCAACCUCGCUCCGCCGUUGAAACUGGCGUUCUUGAGUGGGCGAGAAGUAUGCGGAAUGCGUGGUGUAGCGGUGAAAUGCAUAGAUAUCACGCAGAACUCCGAUUGCGAAGGCAGCUUACCGGCGCCCAACUGACGCUGAAGCACGAAAGCGUGGGUAUCGAACAGGAUUAGAUACCCUGGUAGUCCACGCAGUAAACGAUGAAUACUAGCUGUUCGGGGCAAAUGGGC